GGAUUGUAGCUCAGAGGUAGAGCGUUCGUUUAGCAUGUGCGAGGCCCUGGGUUCGAUCCUCAGCACCA
rnacentral:tRNA from 1 species